AGUGAACGCUGGCGGUAUACCUAACACAUGCAAGUCGAACGGCAGCACAGUAAGAGCUUGCUCUUACGGGUGGCGAGUGGCGGACGGGUGAGGAAUACAUCGGAAUCUACUUUUUCGUGGGGGAUAACGUAGGGAAACUUACGCUAAUACCGCAUACGACCUACGGGUGAAAGCAGGGGAUCUUCGGACCUUGCGCGAUUGAAUGAGCCGAUGUCGGAUUAGCUAGUUGUCGGGGUAAAGGCCCACCAAGGCGACGAUCCGAAGCUGGUCGGAGAGGAUGAUGAGCCAACCUGGACCUGAGACACGGUCCAGACUCCUAGGGGAGGAGGCAGUGGGGAAUAUUGGCCAAUGGGCGCAGGCCGGCUCCAGCCCUACCGGGUGGGUGAAGAAGGCUUUCGGGUUGUAAAGCCCUUUUGUUGGGAAAGAAAAGCAGCAGGUUAAAACCCCGAUGUUCUGACGGUACCUAAAGAAUAAGCACCGGCUAACUUCGUG
rnacentral:rRNA from 1 species